GGAAAAUAUUUUUGAACCUUGCUCAAGUACAGAUUGGCCUUGAUUGAUAAUUGAAGGGAGUGUUGUCAACUAACCACAUCCUAAAGAGAUAUUGAGUGGAAAAACAAACCUUAUCUAGUUAUCUUGUUGUAGGAUCAAAAAGACUUGAGAUUUCUUGAAACCUCUCUAUUUCCGUCUUCAAGCUAAUUAAUAUCCAAGAAAAUCACUCCUACGAAGGAGAAUGGCUCUACAUAGCAAAGAGAGGUUGCAAUUAUCCAGUAUAUAGCACACGUCCACUUAGGAUGAAAUCUGGACCCCACGUCGAACUUAUCCAUUUAUGUUUCGUGGAAAAAAACAAGGAUGAUCAUGCUGGGAUAUUAAAUUUGUACAGAGAAACAGGAUGUUAAUCGCUGAGCAAAAUUCCCUUAUCUCAGAUAAAAGAAAAACGAAAAUAUAUCUUUUGAAAUAAAUAUUGAGCCUUUUUUCUCUUAUUUUCUUUUCUUGUCGAUGAUGGUGCAUUGGCUGCACAGCCAGUGCCGUCUAGUGUAGUGUUAUAUAUAUAUAUGCACAUGCUUGAUGUUUUUAUGAUGCUGCUCUAGAUUUAUUCCGUCUUCUUUCUUGUUUUUUUCUCUGCGAAUGGUAUCUGUUUUUAUCAGCUUUUUGUGUUUCUUGGAAGGUGGUUGUUAGUGAAAUUGAUUAGUUAAUUAGCCAGAGAUAUAGCUACUUUUGUUAACAAGGUAUAGAGAGGGUUAUAAUGGACCGUCAGAAGGAAGGGUCCUCUUCUCUUUCUUCUUCUUCAUCAUUCACAGCUGAUCUUUUUGGCAUCAAGGAGUCACCCCCUUCUUCAUCAACUGGGAUUUUUGCUUCCAUCUUUCCACCUCCAUCCAGGGUAUGGUCUUACACUGUUUAGAUACAUAUGGUGAUGUUUAUAUGGGAAUUUUUUGGAUGCUUUAUUAAGUUGAUAUAUGGUAUUUUAUUACUUGGGUUUUACUUGACGUAAUAAAUCAGUAAAGAAUAUAAGAAAAGGGGAUGGAGAGUUCCUUUUGAAGUGCAUGCCAUGCAUAUAAAACUACAAAUUCUUGAACUGAACUGAAGAAGUCCACACAAUUGAUAGGAUCCACUUAAAUUUGGAAAACAAACAUAGGCCUAAAAUUGGUCCAUUUUGGUAGAUGUCUUUAAUUACUUUGCUCUUCCAAUUAAUUAACAUAGCCACCAGAUUUCUGGGUCGGUAUCUGAACUUAUUUUUAGUUGCUCAGGUUUUAGGAACGAAAUUCUCAAGCUCUGAGGUGAUAGGCUCUUGGCAAAGCAGCCCUCUGGAAAUCAAGGGUGGAACACCAAACAAGGAGCUCCAGGUUUGUCUUAGUAGGCUUGUUCUACAUUAUCUAUAUUCCUAUCUUUCCUAUGAGUCGAUCAUGUUCAUUGAAAACUAAUUUACCUAUAUUCUCCUUGAACUGAUCAUUCCUUAUUUCUUGUGAAAUGCCAAAUAUUUCUCAAAUAUUGAGCAUAGAGAAUAAGCUUGGAGCAAAUUGCCUCGUAUGUUGUUAAUUUUUUUAUUAACAAUACAGCUGUGACUAGCGAGGCAGCAAGCUAUAACAUGCCUGACGAGAACAAGAAUUCUAUUUUUAUGGAAGAAAGAGCAGAACCAUGUCAUCUAAGUUCAUCACUUUACUAUGGUGGGCAAGACAACUAUUCUCAGCCCCCAAGUAGCCAUUCUGGAUCAUAUCCCAUGGUGAGUCUUCUUUAGUAACUGACUAAUUCAAAUACUAUAUUGAGAUAUUGUCAGCAUAUAGAACUACUGAAAUUAUGCAUCAAGUAAAUGACCUGAUGUACUUUGUGAAUCAAUUAGUUCAAGAAAGAUGGGGGAGAAGAUGAUCCUAACGGCAACAAUUCAAACGGUGCUUCUAGAGGAAAUUGGUGGCAAGGUUCACUUUAUUAUUAGGACCUUGCCUUCCCUUGUCAUAUGAAUUCUUAAUCUAUUUUUUAAGGUAAACACAUAAUCUUUUUAAGACAAGAUAGAUGAGUCUUUUUCAUUCUGUAUAAAUUCAAUUGCUUUAAUUUUUCAGCUGAUCAGCAGGAAUAUAACAACAUGUGUUCAAUCUCCUCCCCCAUCUUAAUCACACCCAACCAAAAACCAGGAAAAAAAGGAGAGAUAAUAGGAGAAGGGAGAGGAGGGACACUGAUACAACCUAAACAAAUUGAAGGUACUCAAAUUUCAUAUAGAAGCAGAAAAAUUUUUCUUGGCAUAUCCUGGUAACACAAGAAAAUACUUAUCAUAUUAUCUAUUUUAGUGCCUAGAAGUGAGUUUUACUUUCAGUUUCGUCUUUUGGCCUACCUGUAGGAAGAGUGCAGUGGGUAGAAUUACGCUAGCCCUUGGUGAAACCGUUUUCAACAGUGAAAAAAGAAAAUUUGAGUAAAGACAUACAAGCAUGAAAGCAAUUGUGCUCACCAAAAUCAGUCAACUUAGAAAUAAACAACAAAAAAUUCUUCUUUGUCCUUUAUUUUUUUUUUAUCCGUUCCUUUCUUUUUUUCCCCUUUUUAAUUACAGGAAUUCAUGAAGCCUAGGUGACAAUAACGAAAAUAUGCAAAAUAAAGAAGCAGCUGAUGUUGUUAGAUCCUUGAAAUGCUUUCCCCAGUAAAGACAUUCAAGUUCCAUGAUUUUGAAAUGAGUGUGGCCUCAAUGAAAGACAUGUUGAAGAAACUGUGCAACAGUGGUGAACUCUUUCUGCUCUUGGCCAAUUUACCUGGGCCAUUGAAUAUUGUUUUGAUGCUCUUUUUAUAAGCAUGUAAGAAAUAUCAAUAAAUAGAUGAUUUUUGAGCCUCUUCAGUUGUACAUGUCAACAUGGAUGCUUGAAGGUUCAUUCCCAAAAUUUUGUGCAUCUAUCCUAUUAUUUGUAGAAAUAUAUGAAACUCAAAAAAAGGCUCAUAAUUUUUCUGAGGUACAGGUUUCAGCCUUCAAUAGGCAAAUCAUUAGAUAUUGUUCUAGGGUGGUAAAUUUUAUAGCACAGGAAGAAAGCAGUGAACCUGUUUCCACUUCUAAAUACACCAAUCAUAUUGUCUAGCACAAUCAUAUUGUCUAGCAAAACCAUACAGUUCCAUACAUAAAUGUCACGUUUCUUUCAGGAUUUCAUAACUGUAAAUCAAAAUUCAUCUCUCUAGCUUUGUCCGCUAAUCCAACUACAAAAGUAGCCGCCAAAAAUAAGUACCUUGUUUAAGGCCAUCAGAAUUUAAACUUCCUCCCAGCUUGAGGUAAAUUGUAGCCUGUGAAUUGGAUUCAGAUCUAUCAUGUCUAUAUGGUAACACUACAACAAGAUAUCUUGGUUCCUGUCCUGUUUUCUUCUUAAAGGUCUCGCUUCAACUGGUUCCUCCACACCUUCAACCCAACUACUUAAUUGUAAUGACAGGAGCAUUUGAACUGAAAUUACAAAAUUCCUUACAACACUUCACUGCUGGAUCUCACAAUCUCUCAUAAUUGAACUCAAAGAGGCAAUGGUACUGCUAUUUUAACUGGACUGGAGGUUAGAAUUGACAAUAAUCUUCCAUUCUGUUCUCAUCAUUUGAUAUGCAAAGGAAAAGCCUUUCAUAAGCAGCUGCCAUUUUGGUAGCAGUGAACAACUGCAACCCUUUCUGCCUAGCAGCCUGGCCUUUCUUUUCUAGAACUCCUCUGCCAUCUUCCCAAACUCUAUAGAGAGCAUUCUUCAAUGAAAGUACUGUUGGUGAAAAGAUAUAACCUGUUUCUUUUCCAACAAUCACAGAUCCUGUGAUGCUGGCUACCCUUGUGGCCAUAACAGGCUUACCAGAUAGCAUUGCUUCUAGUAAAGUAUGAUCCAAUCCUUGAGCUCGAAUUGUUGGGUUGACAAAAAUGUCUAUUGCAUUGUACAACCUUGCCAGUUGAGCUUGUUCUAAUGGCCCCAGAACAAGUGCAUUUGCCCCAAGAUCCCUGUAUCUAGGACCCCAAGGACCAUCUCCAGCAACCAAAACAACAGUGUUCUCACGAAAUGUAUCAUUCUCCUUGAGCAUCUGCUUCAGCGCCUCAAACAUUAAGGGAUGCCCUUUAUCUUUCACCAACCUCCCUGCCAUGCCCAAAACCAACAAUCUACUCUCCGUGACACCAAAUUUCUGCUUAAAUUCUUUGCCUUUAGCAGCAUCCGGCUUGAAAACCUCCUCAUCCACGCCAUUGAGAAUAAUAUGAACUCGUUCUUCUGGGAUCAUAUAUAUCCUUUUCAGGACAUCUCCAGCAUGAUCACUAGUGGCAACAUGGUGAGCAUAAUCAGGGAAAAAUCUGACCUCUUCAACAACUUUGUUAACUCUUUCAGUCAAUGCAUAUGCUUGUGGUUCUUCAGGAUUCCGUAAAAGUUCUUGAAUGAUGUCAGUAUGAAUGGUUUCAUAUGCAAUCCCAUGCCAAGUAACUGCUAAGUUGGUCAGGUUCUGUGAUCGAGCAUGCCAGAGCCCCACACUUUCAGUGUGGACUACAUCAAAAGGUUUCUUGGUUGAGUUUUGAGUUUGAAAUAGCUUCCAGACCAAAGCUUGGUCCAGAUAACCAGCAGCUGUUGGUUUUGAAAGGUGAAAAUAUAAAUUGCUCAUUGGGUACCUUGGGAAGGUGGAGUUGAGGGGAGAAGUGGUGAAAACAUGUAGCUCAUGCCCUCUUUUGGCAAGUGCAAGAUGAAGGGUCAAAGCAUGCCGUUCAAGCCCUCCAGCAUGAGAUCUAUCAGGCCAUUUCUUCACAAAGAGCGCAAUUUUAAGGUGUUUUGGAGGUGGUUUUGAGGGAAAGGAAAGAUGAUUCCAUGAAGAAGGGAAAGAAAGAAGAUUAAUGGGUUGAUAUUGCUUUUGCAAUAUCAUUUGGCUUUUGGAAUAGCAUGGAACAGAGCAUUGAAACCAAUAGAGAACUGAAACGAAUGAAAAUGCAGACAGGAGCACAGUGACUAAGCAGAAACAACGAAUACUGAAGAUAACAAUCUGAUCUUUAGCCAUGAAAUGCCAAAUUAUGAUAAGAGAUCCUUCUAACAAGCUUUUCCUCGGCAAACAUAAAUCAAGUUAACAUGUAAAAUAUAGAUUCAAAACAUGAAAGCAAUAAUUAGAUUGGAACUGAUACAAAAAUCAAUUUGAAUCUAGUAAGGAACCUAAGAAGAAGCAUACUUUGAGUGCCAAAAGGGCAUUCAGUUUGUGUGCUUGAAUUAGAAGGCACCUGCACAUGGUUCUCUCUCUUACUAGCAGUAGAGGCGAAGCAAAUACUCAACGAUCCAU
rnacentral:misc_RNA from 1 species